CAGUGUGAGAUCAGGAUCAUGUGUGUCCAGCUCUGUGUCUCUGAAGAGUGACCGGUCAAAAAAUCAUCCACCAGGCUUCAGAGAGGAAACACCAUCAUCUGCUGAAAGUGAUGAAUAUGAGUCAGCAGAUUCAGGAGACGAGACUCACAGGAGACACAAGAGCUUCACAGACAAUCUCCGGUGGAUCUUCCAGAAUCUUGAGGGUAAAAUGAUCAGAUUUCUGAAGAAUCAACUGGAGAAAUUUAAGAAAAUCUUACAAGAAGAAAGCAGUCAAGAGUUUGUAAAGGAGUUUAAUGAGAACAGAAGCAGAAUCACAGAAGCAGCUCUUGAUCUCACACUCUUCUUCCUGAGAGAGAUGAAGCAAAAUCAAGCUGCUGAUACUCUCCAGGGUAAGAGACUCAUGG